GACGGUUUGAGUAGGUGAAUUAAGAACGUCGAGUCGACCAUGCAGUCAGGGGAAAUUCCGGCUUCGGUUGGGAGAGUAUACUGGCGGAGGGUGAGUAACGCGUAGGCAACCUGCCCUUAUGAGAGGGAUAAUCCGGCGAAAGCCGGCCUAAUACCUCAUGAUUCUGGUUUAUCGCCUGGUAGAUCAGACAAAGGUUUGUUUGCGAGAGCAGACGCAUAGGGAUGGGCCUGCGUUCCAUUAGUUAGUUGGUGAGGUAACGGCUCACCAAGACAGCGAUGGAUAGCUGAUUUGAGAGAGUGAUCAGCCACACUGGGACUGAGAUACGGCCCAGACUCCUACGGGAGGCAGCAGUGAGGAAUAUUGCGCAAUGGAGGAAACUCUGACGCAGCAACGCCGCGUGGGGGAUGAAGCUUUAUGGAGUGUAAACCCCUGUAAGCAGGGACGAAAGGCAGAUAAUCGAAAGGUUAUGUGCGUGACGGUACCUGCAGAGUAAGCUCCGGCUAACUCCGUGCCAGCAGCCGCGGUAAUACGGGGGGAGCGAGCGUUGUCCGGAAUUACUGGGCGUAAAGGGCGUGUAGGCGGUUUGAUAAGUCAGAUGUUAAAGGUUCCGGCUUAACCGGAGAAGGUCAUUUGAAACUGUCAGGCUGGAGUGCGAGAGAGGGUAGCGGAAUUCCCAGUGUAGCGGUGAAAUGCGUAGAUAUUGGGAAGAACACCAGUCGCGCAGGCGGCUACCUGGCUCGUAACUGACGCUGAGGCGCGAAAGCGUGGGGAGCAAAACAGGAUUAGAUACCCUGGUAGUCCACGCUGUAAACGAUGA
rnacentral:rRNA from 1 species